UACGUAGGGUCCGAGCGUUGUCCGGAAUUAUUGGGCGUAAAGGGCUCGUAGGCGGUUUGUCACGUCGGGAGUGAAAACUCGGGGCUUAACCCCGAGCCUGCUUCCGAUACGGGCAGACUAGAGGUAGGCAGGGGAGAGCGGAACUCCUGGUGUAGCGGUGGAAUGCGCAGAUAUCAGGAAGAACACCGGUGGCGAAGGCGGCUCUCUGGGCCUUACCUGACGCUGAGGAGCGAAAGCGUGGGUAGCGAACAGG
rnacentral:rRNA from 1 species